UAUUCAACUCAGAUUCCUGCUUUUAUAAAUUGAAGAUUCAGUCUACUACACAGACCUAUAUGUAGACUAGCAGACCUACAAGACAUUAAAAGAAUAAGCAAGCAGGUUGAUGUCCCACCCCAAAAAAUGAAUUCUAACAUAAAACAACAUAAGACAUGGAGAGUUCUUAUAACAGGCUUAAAGUGACAACAGUCAGACUGAAAGUUCAUGGACGCGGAGUCUAAUAUUUCAAUUGCUUUCAAUUCAAGAAUCAAUCACGUCCGGAUGGUUUGGAGUAUCUCAUUAAUGUUAUUUUUUUUGUAACUAGACUAUUAAUUUCACGGUGUUGUUUAAAAAUAUUUAAUAAUUAGUGCUUUCAUUUUUUUUUCUACAAGGGCAGGAAUAUUAAGAUAUGUGUUUCGGAUUCAAAAUACCGCCUGAACUCGCUAAGUCGCCAGUUGGAAUGAUAUAACAUGUAUUCUCUUUGCAAAAUAAACACUAUAGCUGUGGGUUUUUUUCUUUAAGGGUUUGGGAGGGAUGUCCGAAAAAAGUGCUAAUUAUUUAUUCCUCUGAUAAGCGUAGCGUGCGGUGGCGGCUUAUCGAGUUCAAACUAUACUAGCAGUACUGACACACUGACGUACAUACCCUGGUG